UACGUAGGGGGCAAGCGUUGUCCGGAAUUAUUGGGCGUAAAGAGCGUGUAGGCGGCUCGGUAAGUCUGCUGUGAAAGUCCAAGGCUCAACCUUGGAAUGCCGGUGGAUACUGUCGAGCUCGAGUCCGGAAGAGGCGAGUGGAAUUCCUGGUGUAGCGGUGAAAUGCGCAGAUAUCAGGAAGAACACCCGUGGCGAAAGCGGCUCUCUGGAACGGUACUGACGCUGAGACGCGAAAGCGUGGAGAGCGAACAGG
rnacentral:rRNA from 1 species